CUAACUUUGUGGAGCUGGUCAAAACUCUGCUCGAAGACCCUUCUGAGAAGAAGCACUUCUUCCAGGUGGGAAAUAUCAUAAUGAAUCAUAGUUGUUGCUUUCAGAGUCAAUAGGACAGCAUGUUCCAGCAAUGUAAAACUCAGUAGUGAAAUGUUGCUUGUUUUACUGUAACUGAUGAAAAGCCAUACAGAAUGAAAAAUCCAGCAAGGUGUUGGUUUCAACUACACAUGUUUUUAUUUUUCUCUCUCAGGUGGUGUUCCCAAUACGUUACGGCCCUCGGUAUGACACAGCACUGCAGAUACUGGUGUGGGAGUUUCUCUCCCGACUGGAGGACCUGCUGCCUGUACCAGACCUCACAGAGACAGCAUCUUGUCUCAGCCUUGCCCCCGCUGACCUGGAGGAGUUCUGGCAUUCUGUCUCUGACCCCG
rnacentral:lncRNA from 1 species